rnacentral:rRNA from 1 species
UACGUAGGGGGCAAGCGUUGUCCGGAAUUAUUGGGCGUAAAGAGCGCGUAGGCGGUCCGAUAAGUCGGCUGUGAAAGCCCGGAGCUCAACUCCGGGACUGCCUUGGAUACGGGAUGACUUGAGGAUCGGAGAGGCAAGGGGAAUUCCACGUGUAGCGGUGAAAUGCGUAGAGAUGUGGAGGAACACCUGUGGCGAAGGCGCCUUGCUGGCCGAUUUCUGACGCUGAGGCGCGAAAGCGUGGGGAGCAAACAGG